rnacentral:rRNA from 1 species
GCAAGUCGAGCGGAAACGAAGAGGUGCUUGCACCUCUGGCGUCGAGCGGCGGACGGGUGAGUAAUGCUUGGGAAUAUGCCUUAUGGUGGGGGACAACAGUUGGAAACGACUGCUAAUACCGCAUGAUGUCUACGGACCAAAGUGGGGGACCUUCGGGCCUCACGCCAUAAGAUUAGCCCAAGUGGGAUUAGCUAGUUGGUGAGGUAAUGGCUCACCAAGGCGACGAUCCCUAGCUGGUUUGAGAGGAUGAUCAGCCACACUGGGACUGAGACACGGCCCAGACUCCUACGGGAGGCAGCAGUGGGGAAUAUUGCACAAUGGGCGCAAGCCUGAUGCAGCCAUGCCGCGUGUGUGAAGAAGGCCUUCGGGUUGUAAAGCACUUUCAGUAAGGAGGAAAGGUUAAGUGUUAAUAGCACUUAGCUGUGACGUUACUUACAGAAGAAGCACCGGCUAACUCCGUGCCAGCAGCCGCGGUAAUACGGAGGGUGCGAGCGUUAAUCGGAAUUACUGGGCGUAAAGCGUACGCAGGCGGUUUGUUAAGCGAGAUGUGAAAGCCCCGGGCUCAACCUGGGAACUGCAUUUCGAACUGGCAAACUAGAGUGUGAUAGAG